UCCGGUUUGACACCGGCAGUCUCCCUAGAGUCCCCAACUUAAUGCUGGUAACUAAGGAUAGGGGUUGCGCUCGUUGCCGGACUUAACCGAACAUUUCACAACACGAGCUGACGACAGCCAUGCAGCACCUGUCUCCGCGUCCCCGAAGGGAACCCGUCAUCUCUGACGCUGUCGCGGGAUGUCAAGGCUAGGUAAGGUUCUGCGCGUUGCUUCGAAUUAAACCACAUACUCCACCGCUUGUGCGGGCCCCCGUCAAUUCCUUUGAGUUUUAGCCUUGCGACCGUACUCCCCAGGCGGGAUACUUAAUGCGUAAGCUUUGGCACUCAGAGGGUUAACUCUCCGAACGCCUAGUAUCCAUCGUUUACGGCGUGGACUAC
rnacentral:misc_RNA from 1 species